rnacentral:lncRNA from 1 species
UUCAGUAGGAGUUGGUGGAGUUAUAAAGGCCGACUACCACAUCUGUUCGUAAAUAUUUCCUGAAGCUAACAAACGGAGUAAAUUUAACUCAAGGAUCUCCAUCUAACCCAUAGAGCACUCUUUUCGCUGCUUGCUUUAGAAGACAAAAGAAAAAAAAACAAAAUGAAGGGAGCAAUUGUUGUCCUCACUGUUGUGAUGCUGAUGCCUGUGAUUGAUGCUAAUGAUUAUGGCCCCUGCUUGGUUGGAUGCUCAACUACUCAUACCACGUGUACUCUCAAUACAGCGGUGUGCCAUGACUUUGACUCCUGUAAUCAUAAUUGCUAUAAUGCCUACGAGAGUUGCGCAAACGCAUGCAAAAGGAAGAGAGAAUUGUUGUCGAGGUUUUCUCUCGAAGAUGAUGAUUUAGACACUUUCUUCCGUUAGAAUGAAAAGCCCGAGAUGAUAUAAUUAGUUUUAAAUCCGCAUUUAGCUCUUAAGAAAGUUUUCAUUUUCCCUUUCUGGUAUCCGUUUCUCUGUAAAUUUAAUUUACUAGCACUUUCAAGAAAAAAAAAUGGGCAAAGGGAGGUUUACCUUUAUGAUUUGUAAAAUUUCCCUCUAAUUUACAAAAACAUCAAGCGUGACAAAAGCUCGCCAAAACCAAAUAAAAGUUGUGUUAUCUGAC